AACGAACGCUGGCGGCAGGCCUAACACAUGCAAGUCGAGCGAGGACUUCGGUCCUAGCGGCGGACGGGUGAGUAACGCGUGGGAACGUGCCCUUUGCUUCGGAAUAGCCCUGGGAAACUGGGAGUAAUACCGGAUGAGCCCUUUGGGGGAAAGAUUUAUCGGCGAAGGAUCGGCCCGCGUUGGAUUAGGUAGUUGGUGGGGUAAUGGCCUACCAAGCCGACGAUCCAUAGCUGGUUUGAGAGGAUGAUCAGCCACACUGGGACUGAGACACGGCCCAGACUCCUACGGGAGGCAGCAGGGGGGAAUCUGAGACAAUGGGGGAAACCCUGAUCUAGCCAUGCCGCGUGAGCGAUGAAGGCCUUAGGGUUGUAAAGCUCUUUCAGCUGGGAAGAUAAUGACGGUACCAGCAGAAGAAGCCCCGGCUAACUCCGU
rnacentral:rRNA from 1 species